rnacentral:tRNA from 1 species
GCUCGCGUAACUCAGUGGUAGAGUAUGCGCCUUUUAAGCGCAGAGUCGUGGGUUCGAGUCCCACCGCGGGCACCU